rnacentral:lncRNA from 1 species
AUUUUAACCCUGAAUCUAAGAGAAAGGAGCGCUGAAAUCACUAGAAUCUGUGAAUGCUGAUCUCAGUGUGAUUCCUUAAUUGUGCACAUGUAUCUCUCUUCCCAGCCUCCAGCCCUUCAGAGGAAGGGAGAAGGAAGGGAUAUGCUCUCAGGAGACAGGUUAUGAAUCAAGAUCACUUCAUACUGAAUGCUGACAAGCAACUGAAGGAAGCUCUGAAGCAGAGGAUUCGUGUGAUAAAGAGGUCCUCUGAGGUCUUCAAUGAGGAGCUGAAAAGCAAUGGAAAGAUGUCUUGAACUUCAUACAUUCCGUGUUCUGCUGCCUGUGAGGAGAAAGAGAAGUGCUUUUUCCUGGUUGAGUGCUGAGAUGGAUAAUACAUGGAAUAAACUUCAAGGCUUCAAGUACUUUGAGAUUGUUAUUAAGUCUGGUGGUUUCUUACACCCAGCGCAUUGUGAAAUGCACAUGGUGGCAGCUGUUAAGCCUAAUGAAACCCACAGCAGGGAAGAAAACAAAGCAUCACCUACAAAAAGAAGAAGCAAGGACCACAGACAGAUCCCAAAACUCCACUGGCAGUGACUGAAUGGAGCAAUGACUCUUAUCACAAGAGGAAACGAAGCUGCCUUUCCUUGCUGCUCAUUUUCCUCAUAGCUGUAUCUGCUUCUAAGGAGCAACUGACAAUGGAUGAACUUUGUGCUGACUUUUUUAAAAAAGGGAAGCUAUAUGUAGAGCUGCAAGGCUAGGGAGAAGUGUUGUGGAUGUUAUUUUAGUUUCCCUUAGGUAAACCUUUAACAGCGAGCUCUGCAUCAUAUCAAUAGGCCCUUCUUGCAUGGUGUAACCAUCAUCUGGCUGACAAAACAGCAGUCAGCACAAAUAAUUGUGUAAUAAUGUUCUGAGACUCCAGAUUCUUGCGUUGGUUUUACACAGCACUGAUUGGGAAGUGAGCCAUAGAGUCUUAGAUAAGAAGUUCAGAGUUAAUGCAGGGAUUACAACAAUAUACAAUGAAGGUGAUUCACAGAUGGAGAGAAAUGGGGUUUCAUUUAAUGGGCCUUCCAGACCAGGAAGGUCCUCCUCUCUCCAUAUUGCAUGGGGCUCA